rnacentral:rRNA from 1 species
CACGCCGUAAACGAUGGAUGCUAGCUGUUCGGAGUAUCGACCCUCUGAGUAGCGAAGCUAACGCGUUAAGCAUCCCGCCUGUGGAGUACGAGCGCAAGCUUAAAACAUAAAGGAAUUGACGGGGACCCGCACAAGCGGUGGAGUGUGUUGUUUAAUUCGAGGAUAAGCGAAGAACCUUACCAGGGUUUGACAUCCUGCGAAUUUCUCCGAAAGGAGAAAGUGCUUUAGUGAAUGCAGUGACAGGUGA